AUUGGAGGGCAAGUCUGGUGCCAGCAGCCGCGGUAAUUCCAGCUCCAAUAGCGUAUAUUAAAGUUGUUGCAGUUAAAAAGCUCGUAGUUGAUUUUCUGUUAAUUUUUAUGUAUAAUAUUGCGAUAUUUACAUAAUAUUAACAUAAUUCACAUUACUUUUUACAGUAUGUGGAAUUUUACUUUGAGAAAAUUAGAGUGCUUAAAGCAGGCUAUUGCCUUGAAUACUCCAGCAUGGAAUAAUAUUAAGGAUUUUUAUUCUUCUUAUUGGUUCUAGAAUAAAAAUAAUGAUUAAUAGGAACAGUUGGGGGCAUUUGUAUUUAACAGUUAGAGGUGAAAUUCUUAGAUUUGUUAAAGACAAACUACUGCGAAAGCAUUUGCCAAGGAUGUUUUCAUUAAUCAAGAACGAAAGUUAGGGGAUCGAAGACGAUCAGAUACCGUCGUAGUCUUAACCAU
rnacentral:rRNA from 1 species